rnacentral:rRNA from 1 species
GACGAACGCUGGCGGCGUGCCUAAUACAUGCAAGUCGAGCGGACAGAAGGGAGCUUGCUCCCGGAAGUCAGCGGCGGACGGGUGAGUAACACGUGGGUAACCUGCCUAUAAGACUGGGAUAACUCCGGGAAACCGGGGCUAAUACCGGAUAAUAUCAAGAGCUGCAUGGCUUUUGGUUGAAAGGCGGCUUCGGCUGUCACUUAUAGAUGGACCCGCGGCGCAUUAGCUAGUUGGCGGGGUAACGGCCCACCAAGGCAACGAUGCGUAGCCGACCUGAGAGGGUGAUCGGCCACACUGGGACUGAGACACGGCCCAGACUCCUACGGGAGGCAGCAGUAGGGAAUCUUCCGCAAUGGACGAAAGUCUGACGGAGCAACGCCGCGUGAGUGAAGAAGGUUUUCGGAUCGUAAAACUCUGUUGUCAGGGAAGAACAAGUACCGGAGUAACUGCCGGUACCUUGACGGUACCUGACCAGAAAGCCACGGCUAACUACGUGCCAGCCGCCGCAGUAA